GGUAGUCCACGCCCUAAACGAUGCAUAUUUGGUGUGGGCAGUUCAUUCUGUCCGUGCCGGAGCUAACGCGUUAAAUAUGCCGCCUGGGGAGUACAGUCGCAAGGCUGAAACUCAAAGGAAUUGACGGGGGCCCGCACAAGCGGUGGAGCAUGUGGUUCAAUUCGACGCAACGCGAAGAACCUUACCUGGGCUCGAACGGCUUCUCAACGCCGGUGGAAACACCGGUAUCCCGCAAGGGAGUGGAGUCGAGGUGCUGCAUGGCUGUCGUCAGCUCGUGUCGUGAGAUGUUGGGUUAAG
rnacentral:rRNA from 1 species